rnacentral:rRNA from 1 species
UGCCAGACUCCUACGGGAGGCAGCAGUGAGGAAUAUUGGUCAAUGGGCGGGAGCCUGAACCAGCCAAGUCGCGUGAGGGACGACGGUCCUAUGGAUUGUAAACCUCUUUUGUCGGGGAACAAAGGCGCCCACGGGUGGGCGGAUGAGUGUACCCGAAGAAAAAGCAUCGGCUAACUCCGUGCCGGCAGCCGCGGUAAUACGGAGGAUGCGAGCGUUAUCCGGAUUUAUUGGGUUUAAAGGGUGCGCAGGCGGCACGGCAAGCCGGCGGUCAAAUCGCGGGGCUCAACCCCGCCCAGCCGUCGGAACUGCCGGGCUAGAGUGGGCGAGAAGUGCGCGGAAUGCGUGGUGUAGCGGUGAAAUGCAUAGAUAUCACGCAGAACUCCGAUUGCGAAGGCAGCGCACCGGCGCCCUACUGACGCUCAGGCACGAAAGCGUGGGUAUCGAACAGGAUUAGAUACCCCUGUA